rnacentral:rRNA from 1 species
CCGGCGCACGGGUGAGUAACACGUAUGCAAUCCACCUGUAACAGGGGGAUAACCCGGAGAAAUCCGGACUAAUACCCCAUAAUAUGGGCGCUCCGCAUGGAGAGCCCAUUAAAGAGAGCAAUUUUGGUUACAGACGAGCAUGCGCUCCAUUAGCCAGUUGGCGGGGUAACGGCCCACCAAACCCUCGAUGGAUAGGGGUUCUGAGAGGAAGGUCCCCCACAUUGGAACUGAGACACGGUCCAA